CUAAUUUCAUUGCUCAUAUACUUCUUAGUCAUCAAAACAUUCAUGAUUGCUUGGUCCAUUCCAGUCCAUCCCCUUGAACUAAUAUAUUGAGCAGAUGACGACCACAAAAGCUUCUACAAGCUGCUACAUCAUCAUAUAGCUUGAUCUUUAAGAAAUCUCACAGAGAAGAAGAAACAAAGUAGUCGCACAUCAUCUCAACCUUGGUCACAAGGGAACAUCCCCUCAUCCUUAUCCCCAGUGAGCAAGAUUUAGGCUUCUUUCUCCCUUGUUUCCACAUACAUCAGCAAACAUGUACAGAGGUGCUGCAACAUCUUGUAUCUUAAUCAUUCGAAACCCAUCAUGGUCCCCUGUAGGAAAACACAAAGUGAAGGUGGCCGACGACCCAAGUAGUUCUCCUUCGACAAGCCAACCUAGCUAGAAGAUGGGAAUCCUUUUGUCACCUCCAGUAUUGAACUGGAACGGGGGAGGAGAUGAAGGCCCAUGAAUCAGAAUACAGUGAACCGAAAGGGAGAGGGAAUAAUCCAGGGUGUUCUUGCGAGGUCACGGAGGUGGGGCGCGGGGAACAGCGGUGGCCGGUGCCUCACUGUUCCCUUAUUUGAUCAUGUGCAUGCAUGUGCAGUACGUUGGGAGAACAUGAUCUUUGACGCAAGCAAACCCUGUCCACCCCACCUCAUCACUCUCUCUCUCUCUCUCUCUCUCUCUCUCUCUCUCUCUCACACACACACACACACACACACACGCAGUUAUAUAUAAGUUUCCUUGUGUGUUACUGGGUCGUGUAGCAAUCCCUCCUCUUCUCUCUCUCUCUCCAUCUUUCUCGCUCGCUCUUUCUUUCUGCAGACAUCCAUUUACAUCUGCAAGCCAAAAAGAUCGGCGACGAGACGCCGAUCUCAAGAAGGUUUGCUCUUGGUUCUCCGGCCAUGCAUGCCCGAGUGCUCGGAGGAAGGAAGCAGAUGGCCAGAACCAAGAGGGUUGGUGGUGCAACCGUAAGAUGGACCGGGAAGCCAUUGAUCUCGAAGAAGAGAACCGCACGAAGCAGAAAGGCCAUGAGCUGCAUCGAAAGGAAGCUCGAGGUGCUGCAGGAGCUGGUGCCCAACGGGCCCUCCGUGCAGGAGCUCGACGGGCUCUUCCGUGAGGCUGCCAACUACAUCGUGUGCCUGCAGGUGCAGGUGAAGGUGAUGCAGAUCCUGCUCGAUGAACUGUCGCCGAAGGUUUCCGAUAACUAGUCGAUCCUCCUCCUCCUCCUCCUGCUGCUGUAAAUUUGCAGUGGCAGUGGCGAAGAGUAUCACGCUGUGAGCUCAAUGAUUCGUUUUUUGGGGGAAUGUAAUUAGACGUUCGUCGAUACAUGUCUUCCAAUUAAAUCGUGGACUGUUGCGUAUAGAAUGAGAGUUGGCUGUGCUCUGGUCAUGUAUUCUUUGGAUUCCAGUUGGGAAAGCAUGAGAAAAGAUCUAAGAGUUCUAUGUUUUCUUAUCUAUGUGCAUGAGAUUAUAGAAUCCUCUUAUCGGUCCACAUUUGCGAAUGUAGGGUUCUUAAUGACCGCAUUAACCAACUAACACCACGAUUAAUCGACCAAAGCUCGCUGUCAAAUGUCCCACGGAUCAAACCCGUAGGUGUCAGGUUCGUGUUGGAUUCGAUGUCGGGUCGGGUUAGGCUUUUCUGUAAACCGGAUCAAAUCCAUGUUAUGUUCAAUUGAAGAUUCGUGAUUCCAACCCAACCCAAGACAACCCGAUCCGGCCCAAUAAGAUUGGAUAUUCGGGCCAUUCGGCCGCCAGCUUGGGUUUUUGGGUUGGCCUUUACUUACGAAUCAGAAUCUAACACCAUUCGUAAAGCGUGACGGACGCAGAUUACGCGUUGAAUGAGCCGUACAGAUCCCGAUUCCGGAUCAAUGGGUAGCUCGACAUCACGUGCUACGGAAGAGGGUUUAGGGUUCCUCGGUGUCCCGUGCUAUGGAGGCAAGCUCCCCGGUUGGAUCCCGGAGUCGAACUAAGAAGAGUCUGAAUCCGGUCGAUUCCAAUCAACAUCCCAGAAAUUUCUUUCCAUCUCUUCGUCGGAUGGGUUUCCUCUACAACACACCUCGUGAUUUGUUACUUAGAAGGAUAUCUUGAUCACUCUGUUUCUUGUUGAAUGGAAAGGAUAUGUUGAUCCCUCUUAUUCGUGUUGAAUUUGCUGAAGUUUAUGUUUGUCUGGUGUCAUGUCAAAGGAAAGUAACAGGAUCUUUAUUAGUUUCAACUUUGUUAUCUACAUUCCAAUUUGAUGGGCUUGCGAGACGAGCGGAUUCUGACUGGUGUUGGCUCAUGCUUUUUCUUUGAGAUAACAUCGUCAAGUUUCUAAAAAUUAUACCUUGAUUGGCAAAAGAAUUCAUAAUUAGUUGUUCUAUUUGGUUUGCUUCUGAAAAAUAUCCGACAAGUAUCAUUAUCUGAUUCAUAUAUGAUAUGGAUUCCACAUGCAUUUUGAAUUGUGUAUGUUCUGUAGAUUGCUCUGAAGCUGUAUAUUUGUUUUGUCCAUGGGAUCAACUGAUUCUUUCCACAUGGAGUUUGGGCUUCUCUUUAGAGCCUCUCUUUCCCUGCUCGCUUUAUCAUGUCAUCAUGUUGCUGCUCUGUUUUUCAAUAUUGUUGCAAGAAACUAUUCCAGUCUGUAGAAUAAUUUGGUUAUCUUUGUCCUUUUCCUAUCCUUCUCUUCUUUAGAGUCUGGGUUUCUCUUCUUUCCUUUUCCUAUCAUGACAUUUUGCUCUUCAGCUUUCAUGUCAAAUAAUGUAACUGAUUGAAGAAAUGCUUCAAUAACACAGUAUACUGACCAAAAUAUUUUGGCAGUUGAGAGGAAGUACCCUGAGGUGCAACACAAGCUGGUGUAUCAAUUUGAAGAUAAACCUCACUACAGAUCUCCUUACCUUUUCAGAAGUGUAAGCAUGACAAAGUCUUCCAGUGUUUACUGAUCAGGUUCACAUGGGUGCCUGUGAUUCAGAUUUUGGUUCAAUUGCUACCAUUUGCAUAGUUAGCCUUAACUGAAACUGUUUAUUCAGUUGAUAGCAAUAUAAAUAGAUCUGCUGGAUAAUCUCAUUUCCCCUCCUCCAUGAUUAUUUUUCGAGCUGAGCAUUUAUAUAUUAUCAUUUUGUCUUGCUUCCAUCUUUCGUUUAAACAUCCCUCCAUCUUUCAUCCAGCCAUCGACUGGGUCAUUGGCUUCAUCUGAUUAGAAUCUUGGCUUGAAGUUUGUCAUUGCUAUUUAAAGGACAGGAUACAUCAGGAGUUUUUCAUGAUGUAUAGAUUCCAAAGCCAUGGACAAGGGAGGUUUAUUGGCACUGCAAAAAAUCAAGCAAAUUGGUCAUCAAGUUAUAUGCAUGAAUGGCUUUGGCGCAUUAACUGGCCAUCAUAAAUUCAUGAUGAUACAUUUCUGAUUUGCCAUUGCAACAGGAUCAUGAGUUGUCUCAAUCUGAAACUGAGCUUUUACCAACUAUCAAGCCUCCAAGAACAGGCUGUGGAUCUGUGCAACAGAAGCUACCACGUGCAAGUGCAGUCCCCAUCGGACUUCUCAAGAGGUCUACGUUUCAUUUCUCCCCUCCAAGAACAUACUUUUCUGAGUGUACAGUGGGGUGCAGAGCCUGCAGCGACAUCUACAUCCAGUCUCCAAAUCAUUAUCAUGUGUUUUUUGCUUUAUGCCUUCUUUUUCUGGUGAGAUUAUGGUUGAUUGAGUUGUGCCAGCUGAUCAAAUUGGCUCAUCUGUUUCAUCUUAUGGCAGUCCACGUUUCUGGUGGUGUGGUUUUGCCAAGUACAUUGGUUUUCUGCUGCAUGGAAGUCAUCCAAAGAAGCCACAUGGUAGCUGCAUUGCUAAUUCAAAUCUGGCCUCAUGGAGUUUUCCUCAUAAUCAAGAAUAAAAGUUGAAAUGCUUUAUGCUGAUUCAACUUGAGAAUGAUACAAAGAGAUUCCUUGUCUUCUAUAAAGAUUAAUACCAAAGUUUUUUCUCCUUGGUCAACUGGAGGACAGCCAAGUAUUCACUCACAGUGGAGCCCAAGCAAUAAGUGAUCAAGGAAAAUGACUCCCUCCCAACUUCCGGCUUCACAAGUCAACCAGCACAAGAGAUGAAGAUAGUACAUGAUGGCCUGAUGAUGAGAGUAACGAGCAUGAUCCAAGAAUCCACCGCUAAUACAGCCCUCAGAUUUGUUGCUGUGCUUUAAGUUCAGGACUUAUGUGUCUCUUUGUUUGCCAAAUUCCUGUACUUUGGAAAGAAAAACUCUGCAUUUCAACGACAUCUGGGCUCCAAAUUAUAAAAGCCUAACUACUUUUUUGUGUUAUUGUCAACAUGAAUGAUGGAAUAAAUUCCUUGGGAUA